UUUCCUUCUUCCGAUUCUUCAUUCCCGAUCCCUCGCUUCCUCCGUUGGUUCCCUCUCCCUCUCGUGUCACUGUGCCACCCUAAUCGUGAGACGACGACGUCUAGCGCUGCCAGCCAUCGACGCUGCCGUCUUGUCCAUUGCCGCCUUCCAUUAUCGACGCUUGUUUCCCAUCUCGAGCCUGGCGACCAUCGCUGCGAUGGAGUCCAAUGGAUCACUCCAAGCUGCUGAACGCCGCUCGAACGCCACCUAAAAGUUGCCUGUCCAGUACUCUUCUUCCAUUCUCCAUCGCUAGCCGAGAUACCUUCUCCUCCUCUGAUCGUCAUGUUCGUCCGAUCAUUGCCCUCUCUGAGUCGCUAAUCCUCGCGUGGACAGAUUUUUGGACAAGAGGCGAGAUUCGUGCCCUAGUUUCGAUCUCCUAUUGCCGCACCUCGGCUUAUCGCUGCAGCGGCAACCCGAUUCCAUCUAGGAGAGAUCUUGGAUAUGGUACAGGGUGUAGCUCCGAUGAGGAUUAGACCAUGGGAGGCUAGCUGCGGCCACUGGAUCUUCUACUCCAAUCAUCUUUUUGUGUCUAGGACCAAGGUUGGACCUCACCUCCUAGUCAGAUGUGAAGCUUCUGGCCAAAAUCCCUCAAACAACAUUGUUCCGACCAACAACACUAUUCCGACCAGAUUCAAGAACCGAUUGAGUAUGUUGAUUUGAGACGAGCGUCUCGACAUGGGACUUGUUCCGAUACGAACUACAGAUAAAGACGGCAGGUAAAGGAUUUAUGGAGUCACCUGGAGAUCAUGCCCGCCAGUCCCAUGUCACAUCGAGCGACUUCUUCCGUUAUUGCUUUCGUUCGUAUUAUUGGCUUUGGACUUAUUCAUGUGUAUGUAUCUUUUGUAUGGAGGUCAACUUUGUGGUUUCUUAUAUUUGGUUUGAUGUUGUCGUGUCAAGCCAAGGCGCCUUGCAGUUAGUUGUAUUGUGGUUUUGUGAUCGUUAUUUUAUGACUUCUGUUGUGUUUUGUU